UUUCUGCUUGGAUUUUUGCAGGCGCCGCAAUCAGCCUUCAGAGGGGAGACGACGCAUGGCGACGAGAGGUCCAAGAAGAUUGUGUGCGGCUGCCCUUGGGACUGGAUGCGCAUUUGAGGGGCCGCAAAGGAUGGUGACCGUCCAAGUCCAGCACGGGUAAGGAGCAGGUGGAGAGGUCCUAGAGGAAUGCAAUAGGUGGAAAAGCAUGCUUUAGGUCUGGUGUUUCCCAAAACUGGAGGCCUAAUAAAGGAGCAUUACUCAUACAAUAAUAAAGUAAAUGAA